rnacentral:antisense_RNA from 1 species
GUUUUGUGCUUCAUACAUUCCACCCGAUGUGUUUUGUGCUUG